rnacentral:rRNA from 1 species
GAUGAACGCUGGCGGCGUGCCUAAUACAUGCAAGUCGAGCGAACAGACGAGGAGCUUGCUCCUUUGACGUUAGCGGCGGACGGGUGAGUAACACGUGGGUAACCUACCUAUAAGACUGGGAUAACUUCGGGAAACCGGAGCUAAUACCGGAUAAUAUUUCGAACCGCAUGGUUCGAUAGUGAAAGAUGGCUCUGCUAUCACUUAUAGAUGGACCUGCGCCGUAUUAGCUAGUUGGUAAGGUAACGGCUUACCAAGGCAACGAUCCGUAGCCGACCUGAGAGGGUGAUCGGCCACACUGGAACUGAGACACGGUCCAGACUCCUACGGGAGGCAGCAGUAGGGAAUCUUCCGCAAUGGGCGAAAGCCUGACGGAGCAACGCCGCGUGAGUGAUGAAGGUCUUCGGAUCGUAAAACUCUGUUAUUAGGGAAGAACAAACGUGUAAGUAACUGUGCACGUCUUGACGGUACCUAAUCAGAAAGCCACGGCUAACUACGUG